rnacentral:rRNA from 1 species
GACGAACGCUGGCGGCGUGCCUAAUACAUGCAAGUCGAACGCUGAAGGAGGAGCUUGCUUCUCUGGAUGAGUUGCGAACGGGUGAGUAACGCGUAGGUAACCUGCCUGGUAGCGGGGGAUAACUAUUGGAAACGAUAGCUAAUACCGCAUAAUAGCAGUUAUUGCAUGAUAACUGUUUGAAAGGUGCAAUUGCACCACUACCAGAUGGACCUGCGUUGUAUUAGCUAGUUGGUGGGGUAACGGCUCACCAAGGCGACGAUACAUAGCCGACCUGAGAGGGUGAUCGGCCACACUGGGACUGAGACACGGCCCAGACUCCUACGGGAGGCAGCAGUAGGGAAUCUUCGGCAAUGGACGGAAGUCUGACCGAGCAACGCCGCGUGAGUGAAGAAGGUUUUCGGAUCGUAAAGCUCUGUUGUAAGAGAAGAACGAGUGUGAGAGUGGAAAGUUCACACUGUGACGGUAGCUUACCAGAAAGGGACGGCUAACUACGUG